CGCGUAGGCGGUCUUGUCAGUCCCUUGUGAAAUCCCCCGGCUCAACUGGGGAACUGCAAGGGAAACAGCAGGGCUUGAGUUCGGGAGAGGGAAGCGGAAUUCCGGGUGUAGCGGUGAAAUGCGUAGAUAUCCGGAGGAACACCGGUGGUGAAGGCGGCUUCCUGGACCGACACUGACGCUGAGGCGCGAAAGCUAGGGGAGCAAACG
rnacentral:rRNA from 1 species